ACGAACCCCACUCGGUCACGAACUACGUGUUUGUUUACUCCUUUUUCGGCUCAGGCCCUGUUUGGUUCCCUAUAAAAUGGCCCCGAAAAAAAUUUUUCAACGGAAAAAUACAAUUCCGAGCGUUUGUUUGUCCGUAAAAAAUUUUUUUUGGAAAAUUCUUUUUACAGAUACGAAGAAAACUGAGAUUUUUGUUUUCCGCUUUAAACGAGUGGAAAACGAA
rnacentral:lncRNA from 1 species